GGCAUUCCAUCUUGGCAAGGGAUAGAGGAUAACUUACGGAUCCUGUUUGGCCUUUCAGAAGGAGGAAGCUGAGACUUGGAAAGAGAAGUGAGUUAACUUAAGUCAUCACCGGUGAGAGAUUCCAAUGACAAAAUCUCCAUCUGGUUGUUUCCGAGUGUAUGAAGCAUCACCACGGACUCUCAGGUUUAGGAUUUCAUGUUCAUUUCUCAAUUCCAAGGUGGAGGAAACAGGUAACCCUCACUUCUGAUAGAGAUUGAAAAAAA